GACAGAGGGUGCAAACGUUGUUCGGAUUUACUGGGCGUAAAGCGCGUGUAGGCGGCUUUGCAAGUCGGAUGUGAAAUCCCACGGCUCAACCGUGGAAGUGCAUCCGAAACUGCAUCGCUGGAGUCUCGGAGAGGAAGGCGGAAUGCUUGGUGUAGAGGUGAAAUGCGCAGAUAUCAGGAAGAACACCCGUGGCGAAGGCGGCUCUCUGGGACGGUACUGACGCUGAGACGCGAAAGCGUGGGGAGCGAACAGG
rnacentral:rRNA from 1 species